UGGGGAAUAUUGCACAAUGGGCGCAAGCCUGAUGCAGCCAUGCCGCGUGUGUGAAGAAGGCCUUCGGGUUGUAAAGCACUUUCAGCGAGGAGGAAGGUGGUGGACUUAAUACGUUCAUCAAUUGACGUUACUCGCAGAAGAAGCACCGGCUAACUCCGUGCCAGCAGCCGCGGUAAUACGGAGGGUGCAAGCGUUAAUCGGAAUUACUGGGCGUAAAGCGCACGCAGGCGGUUUGUUAAGUCAGAUGUGAAAUCCCCGGGCUCAACCUGGGAACUGCAUUUGAAACUGGCAAGCUAGAGUCUCGUAGAGGGGGGUAGAAUUCCAGGUGUAGCGGUGAAAUGCGUAGAGAUCUGGAGGAAUACCGGUGGCGAAGGCGGCCCCCUGGACGAAGACUGACGCUCAGGUGCGAAAAGCGUGGGGAGCAAAACAGGAUUAGAUACCCGGGUAGUCCACGCUGUAAACGAUGUCGAUUUGGAGGUUGUGCCCUUGAGGCGUGGCUUCCGGAGCUAACGCGUUAAAUCGACCGCCUGGGGAGUACGGCCGCAAGGUUAAAACUU
rnacentral:rRNA from 1 species